CAUUACUUAAAAAAUAAUUAUUCGUUCAACCGUAGCCAUUGCAAGAAGCAAUGUUGAGAAGAGUAUGGAAGACGAGAGCGACGGAAAGGGGCAAGCCAUCUGCUAUCGACCUCCGCCACCGUCAGAAGACAAGAACGACGGCAAAAGGCGACCGAUCUGCUAUCGACCUUAGCCACCGCCAACAGACGAGAACGACGGCAAGAAGCAUGCAAUCCUUUCCCCCUUUCCUGGCAUUCUCUCUGGAUGCUUGCUAUGGGACUUUGUAGAAGGAUAUGGAGAACUGAAGCAAUGACCUUGUGACAAUCAUUCUGCUCUUUUAUUUUGUGUUUGUCACAUUAUCCGUGAUUUUUGUGGCAACAUAUUAAGAUGGUGGCUAGAGGGACCGAAACCUAUAAAUGGAUAUUGCAAGAAAUGCCCUGUUAUACACACACACACACACACACAUAUGUAUGUAUAUGUAUGUAUAUAUAUAUAUGUGUGUGUGUAUGUGUGUGUGUAUUUAUGUAUAUGUAUGUAUAUAUAUAUGUGUGUGUGUAUAUAUAUAUAUGUGUGUGUGUGUGUGUUAAGUGGGUUAAAUGUCAUCCUGUGCUUGUAUAUCAUUAGAUGUCUGUUUACUGGACUUACCAUAAUUAACUGAUCCAGUCUGUUACAGUUACUCUCAAUGAUCAAAGUCAUUUUCUCUAUGAUAUUAUGAUUUUAUCAUUACGUUGCAUCGUGUUAGAUUCUCCUGCGGGACGUUUGAUAAUUGAAAUAUGUUCCAGUCACUGCAUGCUAUUGUUAUUGACUGUCCAGAAUUUAUUUAUUCAGUUGUCAGUGAUAAGCAAAGUCAAAUUCUCUACCAUAUUGUAAUACUACUAUUGUCUUCACCUAUAUUUUGUAAUGUUAAAUGAUUGAAAAAAUUUCUUGUUGCCUCUGAUGUGGAGUUGUUACUGAUGUUCUUGAUAGGGUGUUUCCUCUGAUUUUUUUUUUUGCACAUAUUGGAUUUUAAUCGUCUUAUCUGUUGCAAUGAGUGAUCUUUUAGAUUAAUCUUUUUAUAAGUUUUUUUUUCUUCAAUUAUAAUGGAUGGAGUUUAUGUAGAUGCGUUGAUGGUUUACAGAUAUUAUAGAGUAUGAUGGCACGGUUCCCUUUGCUUUAUUGGUGCGGUGUCUUUUUGUUUUUUAAUUUUUUGGCACGGUUCCCUUGACGAUUGAUUCCUAUAGAUGAUGUUAAAGUUUUUUUUUUUUUUUUUGCGAUCAGUCAAAUAUCUUGAUUUUAGUUGUCUAUUAUGGUUUUUUCUUUUACUGUUAGCUUAAUUUUUUUUAAUGUUAUUCAGCAAUGUGGAAAUCCUAAUUUCCCCUUUGUGCUUGCAAUUGAUGUGAGGAUGCUUCCUUAUUGAUAUGCUUACAUUAAAUUUCAAGUCUUUUUAACCAUGUAAUGGUUGGUAUAUUGGAGAUUGUUUUGUAGUGCUUUUUUUGAUUAUUUUGGUUCAAGUUGAUGCAGAAUUUAUAGAUAUUAUGGAAGAUUGAUAUUAUCGUUAGCUUUUUUAGCUGGCCCAAUUGUUUUUGGUAGUUGUAGCAGCCUCUACUGUCACAGAAUAUGAAGUCUUUGAUAUGCCAUAUACUUCCAAAACCUGACAGGUGGCAGUUAAAAAAACGUAUACUUUAGUUGACCUAUGCAGUUCUAUUUUGCCAUGUGUCAUUAGAACCAAAUUGUGAGGUUUUAUAUUUUGUAUUAGAAGGGCUUUCCAAUAUUUAGAAUUGUUUUAUAUAUUCUUUUGAGGAUCAAAGACAUGUUUUUUGCUACCAUCUUGGUAUGAAUUUUCUGUUGUUCAGUAUUUUUUUUCUUUUUCUUUGAAGAGUUACAGCUGAUGUUCUUGAUAAAAGGUUUACAAUUGAAUGUUUUCACAUAUCUUGAAUUUUCAUUGUCUUUUUUUUCUGGAGACUGAGCUAUUGGAGUAGUUUUUUUCCAGAAGAGCUGCUUUUCCUUAGUCAAGAAGGAUUUGGGAUUUCUACAUGUAUGUUUUUUUGUGGUCUCUAAAGAUUAUGGAGGAUGGUCUAUCUUUUGUUCUGCUGGCAGUUUAGAUCUCACAGUAUAAUUGGUUCGUGAAAUAUUAUUCUCUUUCCAGAAGCAUGGUCAGUGGUAAUUUUGAAGGUCUAAUAAUUUACUUUAUCUCCAAGAAGUGAUUAUAGAGUAUGAUGAUACCUCUUUCACUUCCUUUGCAAUUUGUAAUUUUGUGGUUUGUUUAGUUUGUGAUAUGUUAUAAUUUUUUUCAAGUCUUAUAAAUGGUCAGUUUGUUCUUAGUUCAACUUUUCUAUAUAGGUUCCCCAUCUUCAGUUUGCCUGUGACAUGAGAUGCAGCUGAAAGUUGUUGAGUUUUUUUUUUUGAAUGAUUGAAAAAGUUUAAGUCCUUUCGUAUUUUUUUGGUUGCUGAAUUUCUUUGAACUCGAUUGGGUUGCUGUGCUGUUGGAAAAUGUAGUCUUGUCAUCCAUAAAUCCUUGUGGAGAACUUUUGUCAAUGUACAUAUACAUGCAGAACACCGAUCUAGCCACCAUCGUGGAUUUAUUAGAUUUGUGCUUUUGUGGGUGUCUCCUAAUGGGCUAAUCUUUUUUUAUCCUCCUAAGUCCUAACCAUUUACUAGGGUUAUUUUACUACAAUAGCUCUUAGUGUAUAUGUUACAAUAGGUAGGUAUCAUCAAAAUUUUUUAUGUAACUUAAUGUUUUUCUUACCAUUAUUUAUAUAGUAUAGUGGUAUUGCAAGUUUUGAAUUCCAUUAUAUAUUUUUAAGAUAUAAUACACGAAUCUUUGCUACUUUGAUCUACAGUAAACAACAAUAAUUUAUGGUUUGGCUUUUGAUAUAUCUGUGGAUAGCUUUAAGCAUUAGAUAUUCUUUCUAAUUUGUUAAUAAUUCUUAAUGGCUCCAUGUUUGAAGUUUGUGGUUCUUGGAACUUUUUGGUUGCUGAAGACGUCUCUUUUUGGUAAAUGAGUCUGUAAGUUUGUAUAAGGUCUGGCUUUUAUGGUCUACUCUUGUGAUACUAAUCAAAUUUCUUCCUAAUUUAUGUAUCAGUUUUGCACUUUUGGUUGCCUGUUGCCUUUUUUGCUUUGUUUUUUUCACUCUUCUUGAUAGAGAUGAUUUUUUUUCACAGGGCACAGCAAAAAUCAGCUUUUGAGGAGUGUGCUUUCAUUAGAAUGUUAGUUGGUGAUUGAAAUUUUACCAUGAUUUUUUUUGUGUAAUUUAGGAGUCUAUUUUCCUUCGCUUUCGUGAUAUUUUUUUGUUGUUUCAGGAGUCUAUUUGCCUUCAACUUGGUUAUUUUAUUAUAACUGUGAUUCACAUAAAUUCUAAUAGGUUCCAAGCAAUAAACAUCAUGCUACAGGACGAACAGAGGUGGCUCAAGUUAUUAAUCUUGUAUGAAUCACCUGAUUCUUAU